rnacentral:rRNA from 1 species
UACGGAGGGGGCUAGCGUUGUUCGGAAUUACUGGGCGUAAAGCGCACGUAGGCGGAUCGGACAGUCGGGGGUGAAAUCCCGGGGCUCAACCCCGGAACGGCCUCCGAAACUCCCGGUCUGGAGGAUGAGAGAGGCGAGUGGAAUUCCGAGUGUAGAGGUGAAAUUCGUAGAUAUUCGGAGGAACACCAGUGGCGAAGGCGGCUCGCUGGCUCAUUUCUGACGCUGAGGUGCGAAAGCGUGGGGAGCAAACAGG